rnacentral:rRNA from 1 species
GACAGAGGGGGCAAGCGUUGCUCGGAAUUACUGGGCGUAAAGGGCGCGUAGGCGGGAUGGCAAGUCGGUCGUGAAAUCCUUCGGCUCAACCGAAGAACGUCGAUCGAUACUGCUGUUCUUGAGGGUUGCAGAGGAGACUGGAAUUCCCGGUGUAGCGGUGAAAUGUGUAGAGAUCGGGAGGAACACCGGUGGCGAAGGCGGGUCUCUGGGCAAUUCCUGACACUGAGACACGAAGGCCAGGGGAGCAAACGGG